AUUGAAUAAGUGAAUAGGGGUGCCCGAGCGUAAGCGAGGGACUAACUGGAUAGCAAGUCGGUGAAAGUCCGACGCGGCCGCGCCGCUGUAAUUGGUUAAUCACAGAAAAACCAUAAGCCAGAACGCCAGCCCCUGAAUAGCCUACAGU
rnacentral:ncRNA from 2 species